rnacentral:rRNA from 1 species
UACAGAGGUCUCAAGCGUUGUUCGGAUUCAUUGGGCGUAAAGGGCGCGUAGGCGGCGGGGUAAGUCGGGUGUGAAAUCUCAGAGCUCAACUCUGAAAUGGCACUUGAUACUGCUCUGCUAGAGGACUGGAGAGGAGAUUGGAAUUCACGGUGUAGCAGUGAAAUGCGUAGAUAUCGAUGAGGAAGACCGGUGGCGAAGGCGGAUCUCUGGACAGUUCCUGACGCUGAGGCGCGAAGGCCAGGGGAGCAAACGGG